rnacentral:lncRNA from 1 species
GGUGUGCCAAGUCACCUAUGGAUAUCCUUUUUCAAAACGGUUUUGACUCUGUAACACUGGUUUGCGAACAGAGAUUCCGAUUAAGGAAUUCUGUUGACUGAGAGGAAGGUGUUAGGCACCUCUAGAUCCCGUGGUUUGACCAUAGUCGCUUGGUGGGCAUAUCGGCUAAUUUGACAUUACAAAAUUUAUAAACCACACAAAAACAAUCAAUCAAACAAACAAAACAGAA